UACCAGCACCCCGAGUGGUCGGGACGAUUAUUGGGCCUAAAGCAUCCGUAGCCGGUUUUACAAGUCCCCCGUUAAAUCCAACUGCUUAACAGAUGGGCCGCGGAGGAUACUAUAAGACUAGGAGGCAGGAGAGGCAAGCGGUACUCAGUGGGUAGGGGUAAAAUCCGUUGAUCCAUUGAAGACCACCAGUGGCGAAGGCGGCUUGCCAGAAUGCGCUCGACGGUGAGGGAUGAAAGCCGGGGGAGCAAACCGG
rnacentral:rRNA from 1 species